UUCUUCCAGGGCCCAGGAAACCUUCAUGCAAUGGGAUCAGUGUCGGCGGUUCUACAACUUCCUCAUGGCCGACAACAUGAAGAAGAUCAUCCUCUCGCACAGGCAAGCUCUUUUUGGAGACCAUGUUAAGAAACCCCAGAGCCUGGAAGACACGGACUUGAGCCGGCUCUACACAGCAACAUCCCUGAUGCAGAUUGAUGACAAUGUGAUGAGGAAGUUUCAUGGCUAUAACUCCCUGAAGGAAUACUAUGAAGAAGAGAGUUGCAUGCGGUACCUGCACAGGAUUUAUGUUCCUCUCAUGCUGGUUAAUGCAGCUGACGAUCCGUUGGUGCAUGAAAGUCUUCUAACCAUUCCAAAAUCUCUUUCAGGUAAGUGUUUCUUCCUACUGCCCUCUCAACAGCUCAGCAAAUUGCCACAGUAAAUUCUGUCACCUUCACCAUCCUGUCAUCUCCUGGAGACCACCCUCUUUAGGGAGAGACAUCUCAUAGCAGUCAGCGUUCUU
rnacentral:sRNA from 1 species